UUUCCAAACAGAUUGAACAUAUUUACAUUCUAUAAACAGAUGUUCAAUAUUUUCUUCAUUAUUUUUACAUAUAAUACAGUAGUUAACCACAACGACUCCUCUUUUCCUUGAUAUAUCUAAAGUAUUCUACGCAUCUUAAGCAACCCUAAGAAUGCUCUAACCUUUAAAGGGAUGUGCCAUUUCCAGAUUUUACCUACUU
rnacentral:lncRNA from 1 species